UAAUCCCUUCGACAGAAACACAGUUCUUUCCUUCAACAGAAGCUGCGCCUGCCCUAAGCCCUUGACCUCGAGCACUUCAAUUCGACUCCGACAGAUCUUCACCGACAUCACUGGGCCUCUUCUUUCUCUGCUUCCCUCCUUCAGCACUGCGAAGAUCGACAAAAAUGCAGCUCUUCCUUCUCCUCCAAGAAGCAGCCCGACCCCCUUCUUUCUCUACUUCCCUCCUCCAGCCUCAGGCAAUCAAUUCGACUCCGAUAGAUCUUCCCCAUCUAUCCUUCAUCACACUCAGGUGAUGGACUCCGACAGAUCAUCUUCAUCCAGCCUUCGUCUCCUUCGUGGUCGACGAUGAGCUCCUCGUCGAUCCUCUUUGUUGCCAAAAGGGGCACCUCUUCUACAAGGAGUGCAUCCUCGAGGGCCUUCGUGCGCAAAAGGACAUCAAAAGGUUGCUAGUGUUGGCACUAGUAGCAAAAUUGGAAAUUAUGUUGGUGCCGGUAUUGAUGUCAAUGGUGCAAAAAAAAAAAAAGUGGCAAUGUUAGUAACGUUAACCAACAACAAACUGCAGCUCAGAAACAAUAACGAUAGAUAAAAUGUUGAUGAUCACGCUACUUAUUAUUCAUUCAAUCUUCAAUCAUGAUGCGAUGUGGUGGGUGACAAAUUUGUUAGAUGGUGACAGAUUAGCUACACUAAUGUGAUGUGGGUGACUCAUGUAAGGGAAGAGUGUAUGAAUUUCAACACGGUCGACACUUUAGAAUAUCAAAGAAUUAAAGUUUUAACAUAUUUGCUCUUGAUGAGAAGAACAAAGAAUUAUCACAAGAAAUUGAAGACAUGUAUGCUACUAGCAAGAGGAUGGAGGAAGAAAUUAUUAAAAGAAAAAGCAAAUUGGAAUCGCAAUGUGUGAUUGCAUUUAUCUCAAGACGAUGUGAAUAUUUCUUUAUCUC